ensembl:lncRNA
ACUAAGGAAGAAGAAUAUAAAUCUUCUUCGUCAUUAACUUGUCAUCAGGGGGCUGACGGGCUGUUGUCAUGCAUGUUGUAUGUUUCAUCGGUGUCGCGAGCUUACUGGCUAACCGGCUGAAGUUAUGGAUAUAACAACGUUUUUUAUACGGAUCAGGAACACUAGUAACAGACCUCACCGACCAGAGAGUGAUUCAGAAGCAGCGUCAGACGAACCGAGGACAAGUGUUGCAGAGAAAUCCACCUCCCCAUUCAAAAACCGGGCAGUGGUUUAUCAAGAGACUCCAAUGACUACUAGGACCCCAGAAACAAAGCAAGCUGGCUGAGGCUGAUUUGUUCCUAGUGGGCAUGCAGUAUAAAAACUGUGUUAGCACCGAUUCACAGCUAAUCAAGGGAGAAGAGAAAGGG